UACGUAGGAUGCAAGCGUUGUCCGGAUUUAUUGGGCGUAAAGAGCUCGUAGGCGGCUUGUUGCGUCGACUGUGAAAACCCGCGGCUUAACCGCGGGCUUGCAGUUGAUACGGGCAGGCUAGAGUUCGGUAGGGGAGACUGGAAUUCCUGGUGUAGCGGUGAAAUGCGCAGAUAUCAGGAGGAACACCGGUGGCGAAGGCGGGUCUCUGGGCCGAUACUGACGCUGAGGAGCGAAAGCGUGGGGAGCGAACAGG
rnacentral:rRNA from 1 species